UUUAUAUACACUGCUAGGUACAAUUUCCUGAAAUUCUCUCCUAUUUUAUUUAUUCCCAUGUCUGAAUCUAUGCUCAAAAUAAGAUUGCAUAAAGUUUCCUUCCUGAACUGCUCUUGCCCCUCAAUCACAUGACAUCAUAUUAAGCCACACUGAGCUCAUCGGCCCAGCCAGAAGGUUAUAAUGAAUGUUAUACAAGCUUCAGCAACAUCUCCAGCAAAGUCUUCAACUCUUUCUGGAGGGACAACUCAUGUUUUUGGUUCCUUGAUUUGCCCAUUGGGUACAGAAUUGAGUUGGAAAUUCCUUUUCUCAACUUCACCUCUUCUUCAGAAAGGCUGGAAAUAACUGAUGGACUUCCAGCAAAUAUAAACUAUGGGAUACUGAUGCUAUGUAACAUUUUAAAUUACCAUUUUUGACCUUCAGCGAACAUCAUAAUGAUAACAUACACAAAACCCGUUCUCUAUGGGGGUACUCCCUUUGAUAUAUGUUACCAGGGUGACCCAAAUGGUCGUAUUUGCCCAAGACCUCAGUAUUUAGAAAUAUUGGGAAAGUAGAACAGCCUUCCUUGAAGACCCUUCUGGAAUCAGCUGACCAUAAGGAGACACAAUUCCUGCUUACCUGUCUGAUCACACCUACUCAUCACCUCUGACACUUCCAGCCUCUGUCCUCCUCCCCAUAAAGGAAAGUUCCUUUCUCCUGACCUUUGAGAUACUCGCAGAUCUUGUGCUCACAGCAUUCUCCUUGUUGCUACAAUUGUUUUGAUUAAAAUCUCUCUUUACUGAGGACUAGAUUUGUUUUUUUAUUUGAAACUUGUCAUUACACAAUGAUGA